AGUGAACGCUGGCGGUAGGCCUAACACAUGCAAGUCGAACGGCAGCACAGUAAGAGCUUGCUCUUACGGGUGGCGAGUGGCGGACGGGUGAGGAAUACAUCGGAAUCUACUUUUUCGUGGGGGAUAACGUAGGGAAACUUACGCUAAUACCGCAUACGACCUACGGGUGAAAGCAGGGGAUCUUCGGACCUUGCGCGAUUGAAUGAGCCGAUGUCGGAUUAGCUAGUUGGCGGGGUAAAGGCCCACCAAGGCGACGAUCCGUAGCUGGUCUGAGAGGAUGAUCAGCCACACUGGAACUGAGACACGGUCCAGACUCCUACGGGAGGCAGCAGUGGGAAUAUUGGACAAUGGGCGCAAGCCUGAUCCAGCCAUACCGCGUGGGUGAAGAAGGCCUUCGGGUUGUAAAGCCCUUUUGUUGGGAAAGAAAAGCAGCAGGUUAAUACCCCGCUGUUCUGACGGUACCCAAAGAAUAAGUACCGGCUAACUUCGUG
rnacentral:rRNA from 1 species